rnacentral:rRNA from 1 species
UACGAAGGGUGCAAGCGUUAAUCGGAAUUACUGGGCGUAAAGGGUGCGUAGGCGGUUCGUUAAGUCUGUUGUGAAAUCCCCGGGCUCAACCUGGGAAUGGCAAUGGAUACUGGCGGGCUAGAGUGUGGCAGAGGAUGGUGGAAUUCCCGGUGUAGCGGUGAAAUGCGUAGAGAUCGGGAGGAACACCCGUGGCGAAGGCGGCUCUCUGGGACGGUACUGACGCUGAGACGCGAAAGCGUGGGGAGCGAACAGG